CGUUAAGGACAGUUGCGUGUCUCUCUAGCUUACAGGCUCGGCCUAACAAUAUUUUACAUAAGUUUGACCUCAAAUCAGGUAGGACUACCCGCUGAACUUAAGCAUAUCAAUAAGCGGAGGAAAAGAAACCAACAGGGAUUGCCUCAGUAACGGCGAGUGAAGCGGCAAGAGCUCAAAUUUGAAAUCUGGUACCUUCGGUGCCCGAGUUGUAAUUUGAAGGUAGUUUUCUGGUGCUGGCCCUUGUCUAUGUUCCUUGGAACAGGACGUCAUAGAGGGUGAGAAUCCCGUCUGAUGGGGUGUCCAGUGCUUUGUAGAUUUCUACCGACGAGUCGAGUUGUUUGGGAAUGCAGCUCUAAGUGGGUGGUAAAUUCCAUCUAAAGCUAAAUAUUGGCGAGAGACCGAUAGCGAACAAGUACAGUGAUGGAAAGAUGAAAAGAACUUUGAAAAGAGAGUGAAAAAGUACGUGAAAUUGUUGAAAGGGAAGGGUAUUGGAUCAGACUUGGUGUUUUGUGAUUAUCUUCCCUUCUUGGGUUGUGCACUCGCAUUUCACUGGGCCAGCAUCGAUUCGGAUGGCAAGAUAAUGGCUUGAGAACGUGGCACUCCUCGGAGUGUGUUAUAGCUCUUGUUGAUGUUGCCUAUCUGGAUCGAGGACUGCGGCUUUUGCCUAGGAUGCUGGCGUAAUGAUUCAAUACCGCCCGUCUUGAAACACGGACCAAGGAGUCUAACGUCUAUGCGAGUGUUUGGGUGUAAAACCCG
rnacentral:rRNA from 1 species